UACGUAGGUGGCAAGCGUUAUCCGGAAUUAUUGGGCGUAAAGCGCGCGCAGGUGGUUUCUUAAGUCUGAUGUGAAAGCCCACGGCUCAACCGUGGAGGGUCAUUGGAAACUGGGAGACUUGAGUGCAGAAGAGGAAAGUGGACUUCCAUGUGUAGCGGUGAAAUGCGUAGAGAUAAGGAGGAACACCAGUGGCGAAGGCGACUUUCUGGUCUGUAACUGACACUGAGGCGCGAAAGCGUGGGGAGCAAACAGG
rnacentral:rRNA from 1 species